UACGAAGGGGGCUAGCGUUGCUCGGAAUCACUGGGCGUAAAGGGUGCGUAGGCGGGUUUUUAAGUCAGAGGUGAAAUCCUGGAGCUCAACUCCAGAACUGCCUUUGAUACUGAAAGUCUUGAGUAUGGGAGAGGUGAGUGGAACUGCGAGUGUAGAGGUGAAAUUCGUAGAUAUUCGCAAGAACACCAGUGCGAAGGCGGCUCACUGGCCCAUAACUGACGCUGAGGCACGAAAGCGUGGGGAGCAAACAGG
rnacentral:rRNA from 1 species